ACAUGAUUUGAUCUGAGAAAUUUUCUGACAGGACAGUUUAUGCCAAGUUUUGUUUAAGUAAUGAGAGAACCAUGAUGGGAUCAAUUGGGUUGGCCAUCUGAAAAUGUUUCUUUCUGGAAGGGGAAGGUAUGGAGAGCAGAAACAGGGCAACAUCAUUAGUCUGGCCCUCCCCAUGUUUUCCCUACUAGGAUGCAAAACAUAGUGGGAGUUGAAACUGAGCCACAUGAAAUCCUCAGAAAGCGGCUGGCUUCGAAAAUGACCUGCCAUUGCUUAAGGUGGAAGAAUUAUGAGACCUAAAGCAUACCGCUUGAAACAGAAAUGGCUAAACAUGGAGUAAAAGGUUGGCAUGUUUCCAAUUAACGUCUGCACCUCACCCCCCACCACCCUCAAAAGCCAUGUGUGGCAUUAAUUUAUUGACAAUACAUAUUUACAAACAAUUUAUGUUAGUAAAAAUAAACGUUAAAAACACACAAUUACAAUAAAUAUUUGUUUUGAAACUCAUUAUUAAAAAUGGAACCCACAGUUCUAGACCA